UGAAAUCAAGAUGGUUUAAAUGUAAAUUUCUGCAGUGAAGUGCUAGCUGGAUCUGGAUCGAUAUAUUUGAUUUCUAAAAUCACCCUAGGGCUCUCUAUUCAUGGCAGGAUGCUUUCAUGGAAGAUAUUCUAAGGAAAUCUUAACACAAAUUUACAUGAGAAAAAGCAUGGAAACUUAUUUUUUUACAAGAAAAUUGUAUUUAUGUAAGUGUUGGUUGAUAUGUCGCAAGUAAUGUUGUUAUUCAAAACUUGUAACAAACAGUAAGGACAUGAAGAAAAAUUAAAACAGACAUUGUUUUUUAAGAUUCUAAGUUUUGUAAUUUAAUCAAUAACAUACACAACUCAUAACAAUUCAUAUAUAUGAUUAGACAAAAAACUGUACAAAUUUUUAUAUUUCUUGUACUCUGUAAAAUAUUUUGCAAGUAGAUUUUGACAGAUUGUCACUGCUGUUAUAUAAUAUUAUAUUUGAUCCUUUUGCAGCUCUUUACAGCACUUUUAUGAAACUGCUGUUGGGAUGUGCUCAUACAAAAAUUUAUAUAUGUUUUAAGAGCUCAUACCAUAAGAUUAUUUUUCUUUUGAAGAGGUAUUGUCAAUAUUCCUAUACUCUCAUACAAUAAGCUCAUUCAUUUUUUUUUUUUUUUUUACAUGUUUUAAAACUCUACUGCAGCUGACACUUUUACAAUAUUUUACUCUCAAGUUUAAUAAUUCUCUUUUUUUUUUAUAA